rnacentral:rRNA from 1 species
CCUACGGGUGGCAGCAGUGAGGAAUAUUGGUCAAUGGGCGCGAGCCUGAACCAGCCAAGCCGCGUGAGGGAAGACGGUCCUAUGGAUUGUAAACCUCUUUUGUCGGGGAGCAAAAGACGCCACGCGUGGCGUUCCGAGAGUACCAGAAGAAAAAGCAUCGGCUAACUCCGUGCCAGCAGCCGCGGUAAUACGGAGGAUGCGAGCGUUAUCCGGAUUUAUUGGGUUUAAAGGGUGCGCAGGCGGAAGAUUAAGUCAGCGGUAAAAUUGAGGGGCUCAACCUCGUCGAGCCGUUGAAACUGGUUGUCUUGAGUGAGUGAGAGGUAUGCGGAAUGCGUGGUGUAGCGGUGAAAUGCUUAGAUAUCACGCAGAACUCCGAUUGCGAAGGCAGCAUACCGGCGCUCAUCUGACGCUCAUGCACGAAAGUGUGGGUAUCGAACAGGAUUAGAUACCCGAGUAGUC